UACGUUCCCGGACCCUUGUACACACCGCCCGUCAAGCCAUGGAAGUUGGGAGGACCUGAAGACAGUUGCUGUAAGGCGCUGUUUAGGGUUAAACCGAUGACUGGGGCU
rnacentral:rRNA from 1 species